UACGUAGGGUGCAAGCGUUGUCCGGAAUUAUUGGGCGUAAAGAGCUCGUAGGCGGUCUGUCGCGUCGGAUGUGAAAAUCCAGGGCUCAACCCUGGACCUGCAUUCGAUACGGGCAGACUAGAGUUCGGCAGGGGAGACUGGAAUUCCUGGUGUAGCGGUGAAAUGCGCAGAUAUCAGGAGGAACCCCGGUGGCGAAGGCGGGUCUCUGGGCCGAUACUGACGCUGAGGAGCGAAAGCGUGGGGAGCGAACAGG
rnacentral:rRNA from 1 species